rnacentral:rRNA from 1 species
CAGUAGCCGCGGUAAUACGAAGGGGGCUAGCGUUGCUCGGAAUGACUGGGCGUAAAGGGCGCGUAGGCGGAUUGCGCAGUCAGAUGUGAAAUUCCUGGGCUUAACCUGGGGGCUGCAUUUGAGACGCGUAGUCUAGAGUGUGAAAGAGGGUCGUGGAAUUCCCAGUGUAGAGGUGAAAUUCGUAGAUACUGGGAAGAACACCGGUGGCGAAGGCGGCGACCUGGUCCAUUACUGACGCUGAGGCGCGAAAGCGUGGGGAGCAAACAGGAUUAGAUACCCCCGUAGUCCCUGUCUCUUAUAC